GACACUGUACAACAGACUAUAGUUACCCUCUUGACAACAUGAAUUUGCCUACAAAAACACACAACAUAAACUAUGAAAUUUCAAUGGCAUUAUGAUUUAUGUACACUUCUCUCCUCAUCUCCGCGUUAAUACUUGAAAGAGUCGAGGAAUAGACCAAGAGUCAGUCCAGUUUUCCAGUAAUUGAACAUAGUGAUGAUGCUUCUUACCCCAUCAAUUAAAGGAAUAGAUCUAUACAUGAGAGCUCCAAUGCCCUCAACCACAGCCACAGCCAAUCCAGAAGAAAUAAUAUCCCAAUCACCUGUCUGCCCUAUUACAGUGGCAAAUGCGGUUGCACAAUAGAAACCCACUAAGAAAAAC
rnacentral:misc_RNA from 1 species